CCCUUAGAUGUUCGGGGCCGCACGCGCGCUACACUGAAGGAAUCAGCACGUCUUUCUCCUUGUCCGAAAGGACUGGGUAACCCGCUGAACCUCCUUCGUGCUAGGGAUUGGGGCUUGUAAUUCUUCCCCAUGAACGAGGAAUUCCCAGUAAGCGCGAGUCAUAAGCUCGCGUUGAUUACGUCCCUGCCCUUUGUACACACCGCCCGUCGCUACUACCGAUUGGAUGGUUUAGUGAGAUCCUCGGAUUGGGCCCGGAGCGGCCUCUGGUCGUGCCGGAGUGCCGAAAAGAAUGUCGAACUUGAUCAUCUAGAGGAAGUAAAAGUCGUAACA
rnacentral:rRNA from 1 species